UCCUGUGUUCUGAUUUCUGGUACUCUGUGCUCUGCCAAAGGGUUGAUUCACUCUUGCCCACAUGUUCCUCAGGCCUAGCGCAUCAGUAGACCGUUGAUAAAUGUUUGUUGACAGUAAUUGCUACUAAUCAUGCAACGCAAUUGAGUUUCAAAAUGCACUGGCCCUCCUGCUAAAGCUGUCUUCAGAAUCUGUGUGGUAAGAUCACCUUUUAAUGAGGUCAGGGUGUUUUCUCUUCAGGGGCUAAAGUUUUUUCAGGGGUCCAAUACAGAGCUGCCAGAUGUUGGCAUUCGUUCCAAAUAAAACAGGGCUUGGAGGGGGGCUCAGAAGGGAGAACCUUGCGGUGAGCACUUGGGUGAUAAAAGGCUUGCCCUUGGCCUAGGCCUGGCCUCCCGUCCUCUUAAUGGAUUGAUCCUCAUGGGCGCCCUGGGAUCUGAGGCCUCAAGCCCUCCUCCUCUUCCUUAAGGUGCCACUUCAGCCCAGUGAGUGUCUUUUUUCUUAGCUUAGGGCCCACAUGCUGUGAAGGAAGCCACUGCUGGGGGUGGUCGGGGGGUGGGGGGUGGUUCUCUCUAUGAAAAUCCUGCUGUUUGCAUCUCCUCUUCCUUGGGGGCCCACUUCCUGGUUCUGUGGAGGGUUUGCUUUCUGACGUCUGUCUCUGUCUCCGUAGCUCUCAGCGCUCUCUGCUCUGUCACCAUCUGACACCCUCUUGUCACCACUCCCCCAGAAAGGAGGGCAGUCAAGCUUAGGCUCUUAUUGCCCCACCUCAAGGAGAAACUGUUUCUGGCAGCCCCAGUGGUAACUUUUGUGUAUAAUUUCUCACAAAAACUGCGUUGCAAAGACCCGCAAGGCUUUGGGGCACUCUCGCAGCCCGCAUGGCUCUCCGGUCCCAGUUCUCUGUGGAAAGCAUUCUGGCUGCACGUCACCGCUGACUAACAUAUUUUUGAAACCUAAAGGGCUCAGGAAUGGAGGAUUUUUUUGUGUACCUGGAACACCAGGUUGAAAGGAAGACCAGACAGUAAAAUGGGAGUCGGCGGAAUAUUCCUGUUCCUGUGGGCUUGAGUGACCCUAUUGCUGAAUUCUAAAGCCUCUCUGGUGUAAGUAAAGCGGUACAUCAAAACCUGACUAUGCCUCAGAACCAUGUGGGAAGCUUACUAAAAAUUUAGAAUCUUGGAUCUCACCCUAGGACACUCUGAUUCAGAGGGACUGGUGUGCAGACCAGGACGUUUGUAUAUUUGAUAAGUUCCUUGGGUGGUUCUGAGUCAGUCACUGCUUCAAAGAUGUACAUGAGGAGAGCAGUUUGCAUGAAGAGAAUGGUGCAUGUCUAUCGCAUGAUGUGGUGGAUGAGCAUGGGCUCCAGGUCAGAGGAUUGAGGCUGGUGCCAUUGAUAUUUACAGAACGUACUUGGAGAAUCAGUGGGAAAACAGGAGACCUUAGAGAGGCUAAACACUUAGAGGCAUAAGACCACUCCCCAAAGGACAGAAUAGAUCCAAAAGGGGUGAACUAGAAUGGGGAAGAGGCAGGAGUUUUGUUAGAGUGUUUGGAGAAGAUGGAGAUGGGAAUCUUCGUGGUGCUGUGGGAGGUUUUAGGAGGAAAGAUGGGUAAAAAGGAGAUGCUGCUGUUAUGUUUUGCCAUGUAAUUCUCCCUUUUGCCCUAUCUUCCAAGACUUCAUUAAAGACCUACUAAGUUUUCAAGUUGUUGAGUUUGGGUUAGGGUUUAUUUUGGAUGGGACACCAUGCAGAGACUGGCCUCUAGGCAGGAGAGUUUUAUUCAGGUUCUGGAUGUAAAACUACUGCCCUUGCAGGAUUAUUAUGAGGAGCUGAGAUACCCUAUUUAAAAUCUCUGUCAGAUAGUAGAUGCUCUAUGGAUGGAUUUAGAGAUUCUCAUACGAAGUGAAGGAAGACAGACAGAGACAAAUACCAUAUGAUAAUUCUUAUAUGUGGAAUCUUAAAAAAAAUACAAAUGAACUUAUAUGCAAAACAGAAAUAGACCCACAGACAUAGAAACCAAACUUAAUGGUUACCAAAGGGGAAGGGGGUGUUAGGAAGGGAUAAAUUAGGAGUCUGGGACUAACACAUACACACUGUUAUCUAUGAAAUAGCUAAACAAGGACCUACUAUAUAGCACAGGGAACUAUAUUCAAUAUUUUGUAAUGACCUAUAAAGGGAAAGAAUAUGAAAAAUAAUAUAUAUAUAUAAAACACACACAUAUAUAUACACACACAUACAUACAACUGAAUCAUUUUGCUAUACAUUUGAAAGUAACACAACGUUGUAAAUCAACUAUACUAUAGUAAAAAAGGGAAGAAAGGUAAAAGGCUUUAAAAAAUGGCUAUUGGAUUACCAGUAAUUACUGAGAACCAACUAUGUUCCAUAUGGUGUGUUAGGAGAAGCUGGGGAAUGAGGAGCUCACAGUUUUAAGUCAGUUAACUUUUACUUUAGGUAUGUGCUCCAGAAAAGUCUUCUAUAUGAUCCAGACAUUAUCAGGACCUGACUGCAUAAGCUUUGAAAAAAUCUAUGCAAAUACUUAAGAAUCUGGCCAGAUUCAAGAGGGACUGAGCUGAAAAGGGCCUUAGAAAGUAUUUAUUUUCCUCAUUAUCUACAUUUUCCUGAUGAGGCACUGAAGUCUGCAGAGAGGAAGGACUUAGGGCUAUGAUGAAUUGUUACAAUUUUAUCAAGUAUUUAAAGAUAUUGUCACUAUUUAUAGGGUGUCUUUAGAAAUAAUUAGCACAUAACCCUUCUUAAUAGAUAGAUGGAUAGAACAUGAAGCAUAAAAUGUCAGUGCUGAAAUUUUCCUAAAGAUCACCUUGUUCAGAUAGCUGAUUUGACUAAUGAAGAAACUGGGGAUCUAUUUCUUUCUGCUUACUGCUGAGUCAUAGCCUGCAGGUGAAUGCAUCUAAGAAAGAUUUGGGUUCAGGGAUUGGUAAAUGAUAGCACAGCAGUCUUGAGCCUUUUUAAAUUAAAAAAAUUUUUUUUCCAGAACAGUGUUGAUAAGUUGCUGCUCAGAUACAUUUCCUUUCCUCCCUUGACUGACUGGUCUUAUCUGACCAAGUAGCUACAAGUCAACUGGAAUGACGAAAGGCAAAAAAAUGUAUAGACAUAACAUAGGUUCUAUACAUACUCAAAGGAUAUAUGUAGAAGUUAGGAUGCAUUCGGAGGCAAAGUGACACAAUGCCUUACGAUAGCUUAAGCCACAAAGGUCGAAAACUAUCCUUAUAGCAAGAAUCUGGAGAUGGGGGAGUCCAGGUUUGAUGUGUAGACUCCUUCUGUCAUUAGACACCCAGGUGUUUAAAAAUCUCUCUGUUCUGCCAUCCUCAGCAUGUUGGCUUUUUUUGUCCGUAGGCUGACAAGCCUAGAAUAAUUGUCUCAACUCCUAGCAUCAUGCUUUCCACACAUUCACAAAAGGAAAAAAGUCGAGGACUCUUUCAGUAUAUCUAUUCAUCAUGGAGUGAAAACCUUCCCCAAACACCUCUAGCAGAGUUCGCCACGUCUCAUCACCAGAUCUGUGUCACAUGUCCACCAAUCCCUAGCAAAGAGAAAAGAAAUUGUUUUGCGGGGCUAAAACCAAUCCUAGGUUUGAAAGAGGAUCCCUCUGUCUUUGAGAUGUUGCUUCUCUGACAAUGUGAAAUUCUAUAAACUAAAGGCAGGGCUAAAUAUAGCUAUUUGGAGGGGGAAAGAAGGUGUGUGCUUUAUUAUAGGUGAGACUCAUAAAUCCUGAAAAACUUUUUUUAAUGUAAUGCAUUGUAAGACUGCUUUCUACAUAGAUUAGUAGUUAUGCUCUUGAGAUUUAGAGUCAGAAGUCCUAAUUUUGAAUCUUGGCACUAGCAGUUUUUUCCUCUGUAAAUUAGGAAUAGUAAUAGUACCUACUUCAUUCAUAGUGUGUGUGUGUGGGGGGGUGUUAUCAUUAUCAUUAUUAUUACUAUUUUGCAAAUAGUGAGUUGGCAAUAUUGUAUAGUUAUGAAGUACUUGAAGCAGUGUGAAGCACCUAGUAAUCAUUAAAUAAACCUUAGCUGUUUUAAUUUUGGAAUCAUUGGUUCUAUAAAUUAAAAUUCUGUUUGUCUUCACUCAAGUCAAAAUUGUAUAUGACCCUUCUCUAUUCCCUAAGCCUGUGACUUUACUUUUUUAAAUGUAAAACAUAGGGCCUGGUAUAGAUGCAUCCUAUCCUUGGGAAUUGGUUGACGAGUGGGGGAGGUCUCCUCCUUUUUUAGUUCAGGAAACAUAGGCAUAAUUUUGCUGGUACAUCUUUCUGAUUUUCAGACUGCUCUAGAGUGAAGCCUAUUGAAAACGCUUAUUCAGGCCCAGAAUCCAUUUAUUUGAUCUCAAAUUGGAUGUUUGCCUUUCAGGUCCAAACCAAAACAACAAUGCAAUUUACCUUAUCUCCAUUACAUCGCUGGCUCCCAGAGCAGGGACUUGGCAGCACCUCAGCUCCCAGGAUGCCAGGGCACAGAGCCUGCUGAGCUUUCUUUCCCAGGUCCAGGAAAUUGAGCUGAUUUGGAACGCUUGGAAAUUUUCAGACAACUAACAAAUCGUUGCCUCCAUUCAGUUUAGGAGAUUGACAGGAGGGCAUAUUUGCUCAGAAUCCAAUCACCAGUGUUAUACGAGUAUCUGAGAGGAAGUGGAGCUGGUGGUCAGAGGAAGGGCCAUCAUUGCUCUUAUUUUAUUUUAUUUUACUAUUUUAUUUGACUUUAUUUUAUUUAAUUUUACUUUACUUUUAUUUUAUUUAUUUAUUUAUUUUUGUCUUUUUAGGGUGGCACCUACAACAAACAGAGAUUCCCAGGCUAGGGGUUGAAUCCGAGCUAUAGCUGCUGGCCUACGCCACUGCCACAGCAAUGCCAGAUCUGAGCUGCAUCGGCAACCUACACCACCAUGGCAAUAUCAGAUUGCCAAACCACUGAGCAAGGCCAGGGAUGGACCUGCAUCCUCAUGGAUACCAGUUGGAUUUGUUUCCCCUGCGCCACAAGAGGAACUCCACUCUCAUUCUUUACAAGAUGGGAGGUGGGCAGAUAGUUCAAGGUCCUUUUGCCCCUGGUGCACUUGACAAGAUUUGGCAUGAUUGCUUGUCUGGAUUUUGCUGUUAUCCUUCUGUUUAUUCCUGAGAGCUCUUUAAACAACAAGAUGUCCCCUGUGAGGGGUUUGGUGCUGGGAAUUGAGGGUCUGAAGAUAAAUGCUUCCCAUAGUGUGGGCCUUAGAUGACAAUGGGCAAGCCUCUGGCUUCCCACUGACAGGAAAAGGAACAUUUGCCUCUUUUCACAGAUUCCUGGUGUUUUUUUACCGACCUUGAGAAAGGUCAUGAAACUGGUAAACUUGGAUGUUGGAUGGCCAUCUGGGAAACUGGGAAAACCCAGAAUACAUACAUUUUAAAAUUCUCCAGUAUGUUCUUCCUUGAUUUCCCUUCUCUUUAUUUUUCAUUUCCCUACCUUUUGGUGAAUUUCACUUUUUCCUUUCUGUCUUCUCUCUGCUAGUUAGGAAAAUAGAAAUUAUAUUUCCAUUCUUUUGGUGGUUUUUCAAAAAAGGUGGCUGUGGCCUUGUCCUACUGUGACACUGUCUGUUUCAUCUAGGUCUUCUGAUCCUAGAACCUUAUGUAUGCCUUGACCCCAAGCAACAGUUGGUUGCAGCUUUUCUCAACUUCCUUUCAAGGUGGUAGAGUCUGGGUUCAAGAAGUGACUUAGGUUCUGGUUUCUCUGCUUCACAUGAGAAAAUUAAGCUCUUAGAAGCUGAUGUUGGGCCACCUCUGCCUCCUUCUGGAAACUAAAGAUGUACUUUACUUUCUUUCAUCACUUCAAAUUUCUUUUCUGUUUCUGGCCCAAAUAAAUGCCCCCCUUUCUCUUUCUCUAUCUCUCUCCCCACCCUCUCUCUCUCCCUCUGCCUCUCUUUCUCUGUUUUUAUCUCUCAAGCUGUUCUUGCUAUUUGUUAGUGGCUUUGCUGAAAAUACGAUCUUCUAGUAUCAUCCUUACUGGAAGUCCUUGACUUGUAUUGUAAAAACUAUAAAGAUGUCAUGGUCAUCUGUGACAACAGCCACUCCCAAGGAUGGGCCAAUGAGCCCUGAGGGAACUCAGGAAAGCUUAUCAAAGGAGUGAUUCCAGUAAGCCCAGAACUUUAUGUCUUCCCAUAGAAAUGGUUUUCUGUAAAUCUUCUGUAAAUCUGGCUAUCUGUAAAUCUUUUAUUCCUACUACCUCCCCUUUGUUGCAAAACUCAUGUAUCCUAGCUCCCUCCUCGCCUCCUUGGAGUACUUUCUCAGGGCUACCGGAGAUGCCGUCUCCCAGGCUAAAGUCCCAAUUUCACUCCAAAUAAAACUUAACUCUCAAAAA
rnacentral:lncRNA from 1 species